GAGGACUGUCUGGAGUUUAAUACUCAUGGUGGUGUUUGUAAAAAGUGUUCAGGGUCAGACACUAACUGAGUCUGGACCAGUGGUUAAAAAGCCUCAGGAAUCCCACAAACUGACCUGUACAGCUUCUGAUUUAGACAUGAAUAGCUACUGGAUGGCUUGGAUCAGACAGGCUCCUGGGAAAGGACUGGAGUGGGUUGCAACUAUUACCCAUGAUAGCCGAAGCACUCUCUACUCCCAGUCAGUUCAGGGCAGCUUGGACUGACAUUACAACAAUACCUGCACUAAUUAAUACUGAUCAAUGGCACUGAUGACUGUCUGGAGUUUAGCUGUCAUGGUGAUGUCCAUACACAGUAAGUAAAACAUUAAAUGGUGACUGAAGAAUGUCUGAGUAUCAUGGUUAAACUCUAUAUUAGUGUAAAUACCACAUCUUAAAUGUGUUUGUUUUGCAGGUGUUUGUUGUGAUAUCAGACUGGAUUAGUGUACUCCUCAGGUGUAAAAACGUGGAGACACUGUUAAAUUGUCCUGUACAAUCUCCUGGUUUACAAUGACAGACUACUUCAUGCACUGGAUGAGGCAGAAACUAGGAAAAAUACUGGAGUGGAUUGGGAGAAUGUACUCUAGUUCAAACUCUGCUACCUACUCAGAUUCCCUGAAAGGCCAGUUCACCCUGACUGAGGACGUGUCCACCAGCACCCACUUCUUAGAGGCUAAGAUCAGAGGACUCUGCUGUUAUUAUUGUGCUCGACAGAGUGACUGGAGAUGGGGAAGCAGCUGUACAAAACCACCCCUAACAACAUGGAUAGCUGGUGAACUACUUCCUCUCUUUGUGUCAUAAGAAUAAUACUGAGUAUCAUUACUGUAAAGAAUACAACAACAAUAUCACAAAGCACUACACAAUAAGAGUCCAGCCUUUCAAACUACUCAAUAAAACUAUCUCUUGCCCAGUCUGGUCUAUCGUUCUUGUUGCCACAUGAACAUGUAAUAAACAAAGUAUUCAGAACA